UUUAUGUUAACGUCGUAAUAGUCUGUUGUUGUAAGGGUGAGCAUUAAUAAGUGUUAUAGCAGUCCGAUAACUAAUGUUGAGAUUGAAAACAAGGAAUUUAACUAUACAUCCGGUUUUUCAUUACAAAAAAAUAAAUUGUCAAAGGACAGACUAUGCUUGUACUGAGAAUUUUCACCCUUACGUUAUUGACUGGUAUAAUGAGAGUAUCUUCUCAGCUCUGUGAAAAAGGAGUAACAAAAGAUGGUCACUACUGUCGAGAUACUGGUCCAUUUUACAAAGGACUUGGUCGGUGUGCAAGAAGUACUCAAAGUGGAUUUAUUAGAAAGUGUGGUUUUGUGGGCUCUAGCUGCCGUUGUCGAUCAAAACUUAUAUUGAACGCUUUUAUCAAUAUGCAUGCGAUGAUAAACUUAUAAAAUUCAUUUCACAAAUUUACAUAAAAGUCGUGUUGAAAAGUAAAAGUCCGAUGAGACAGCUACAUAUGACGUUUGAUUGAUUGAGAUGAAGUGAUGAUAUGUAAGGUUCAUUGUUUUGUGAAAACUUUUAUCAUCAAAAUCUAAUUCAGAUUUGUUUAACUUCAUUGCUUUUGUUUGAUAUUUAAGAAAUAAAAUAAAGCUUAUUACUAACAA